CUACGGGGGGCACCAGUCGAGAAUCUUUUGCAAUGUCCGCAAGGAUGACAAUGCGACGCCGCGUGAGCGAUGAAGGCCUUCGGGUUGUAAAGCUCUGUCAGCUCGGAUGAAAACCCUUGGUUGAACAGGCCAAGGGUCUGACGGUACGAGCAGAGGAAGCUACGGCUAACUCCGUGCCAGCAGCCGCGGUAAUACGGAGGUAGCAAGCGUUGUUCGGAUUCACUGGGUGUAAAGGUCAUGUAGGCGUCUCUUUAAGUCGGGUGUGAAAUCCCUUGGCUCAACCAAGGAACUGCGCCCGAUACUGGGGAGAUUGAGUACUUGAGAGGUAAGCGGAAUUCCGGAAGUAAGGGUGAAAUCUGUAGAUAUCCGGAAGAACACCAUUAGCGAAGGCGGCUUACUGGCAAGAUACUGACGCUGAAAUGAGAAAGCUAGGGGAGCAAACAGGAUUAGAUACCCGAGUAGUC
rnacentral:rRNA from 1 species